rnacentral:lncRNA from 1 species
CUGGCUCAGGGUGCAAGUCCACUCCACACGCUCUGCCCUUCAACAUGAAGCAGUUGGGGGACCCUGAAUUCUACAUCGGAGAUGGAAUACAUUGUAACCUCCAAUGUCCUUUGGCUAUGGAGAGAUUGGGUCUCUCUAUAAAGGCAUGUUAUGUUUUUAGCAUUUUAUUGGGAAAAUCUUCUGGCUAGACUUUACUUCAGAGAGCUAGAAAAUAUCUCCUAUGAUUAAGUCACUCUGGGCUCAAUGUUUAAGAAAUGUAUACCAUCCAUCAAACCAGACAUCACCUCAGCUUUAUGGCAUUGAAACUGUCAGAUGUCAAAGGGAUUGGUAACAGGGGCCCAAGGCACAUGAGAUGGCAAAUUAACAAAGGGGGCUUUCGGUUAGGGAAGAGUCAAAGAGUGCUCCAAGCAUGUGUUGAAGUACAAUUUCUACUCAUCUAAGACUGAAAGAGGCUGUCAGAAAAGUAGCUCAAGUUUUGAUCCAAAAAGACACUGAAACAGGACAUCUGAGUUCUCAGAAGGAUCUGGUUUUGUCAUCAGCAGCUUUACUUCUGUCUGGCUAAGCAUCUGGGCUGGCAAUGGGAAACAUUGCAAUGGAACAUUAGGUCAUGUCCAGUUGGCCAAUACCGGUCAAGUAUGUUCUACAUUUAGAAGAAUUAUUUCUGGGGCCCUGCUCCCUUAAAGGCCACAGGACAGCCUACAGUUAACUAGAAGGGCAUUGUUUUGGUUUCACUUCCCCUAGAUACAUGUUACUUAACUUGAAAUACUAUCAGUAGGAGAGCAUCACCACCACAUUCACAGAUAUUCACGCACAUCAGGGUAAUUAUACCUGCAUAAAUUGUCCCCCAAAUUUGCCUAUGGAAUGCAAUGGUGUCUUAAAGGGCUCUAAAGAUAAGUAUGUUAAAAUAUAGAUAUAUAAAAAAAUUAAAAGUCUUUAACUAAAAACUC